UACAGAGGUGGCAAGCGUUGUUCGGAAUUACUGGGCGGAAAGGGCGCGUAGGCGGCCAUCUAAGUCAGACGUGAAAUCCCCCGGCUUAACCUGGGAACUGCGUCUGAUACUGGAAGGCUUGAGUAUGGGAGAGGGAUGUAGAAUUCCAGGUGUAGCGGUGAAAUGCGUAGAUAUCUGGAGGAAUACCGGUGGCGAAGGCGGCAUCCUGGACCAUUACUGACGCUGAGGCGCGAAAGCUAGGGGAGCAAACGGG
rnacentral:rRNA from 1 species